AGGUGGACUAGGUCGGGCAGUUAGGCCCUGCUCACAACCCGCACUAUGGUCUUUAGCGGGGACCGAACCCCGGAUGCGUCCGGACAGACCCGUUCGGGCCCCGGAAGCCGACGUGGAAACCUCGUCCCUCGGGGGCCACGGUUCGCGGCGUCCGCCCGCAGGGGCGUCACGUCGCGAUUCGCCGGCGGCAGUUCGUCAGGCGCGGAAGCGAGCAGCGAACCGCUGGACGAUGGUCGCUCGAGGGGUCGCGGGGCGGAGGAGGCAACCGGGCUUCCCCGGCCGGGAACGCCGGGCAACUCCGGGCGUCCGUUC
rnacentral:SRP_RNA from 1 species